rnacentral:rRNA from 1 species
UGGUGGGGUGACCCGUCUGGUUAAUUUCGAUAACGAACGAGAUCCGAGCUGUUUAGUUGGCCAAUAUUACACUUGUAGUAUUGUGUCUCCUAUAUGGACUGUCAGUUUGAGGCUGAAGGAAGUUUCGGGCUAAAUCA